GUAGGAAUUAAAAGUUAAAACAAUUAUUCUACUUGCAUAUCUCCUAAUGUACAUUUUAAAUUUAUAUAAUAGUUGUCUAUUGAAAAAAAUGAACUGGAAUCUCAUUACGGUAGUGCUGUUAGUUUGAUCUAAAGGACCAAUACUGUAAUAGAUUAAAGCUAUUACUAAGAUAAUAAAAAUGUUGCUUAUUGUAAAAUUCCAUUUUCAUUCCAAUACAAGUUUUAAGGUUGGUCAUUUAUUUGUUCAAUGUACAAGUGUUGUAUACAAAAUUAAACCCUAUGACUCUUGAACCCUCAGAGAAUAAGAAUAAGAAUUUUUAUAAGUUUUAAAAUCCAAACAAUAUAGGAUUGUUUCUAAAUAAAAAAAAACAAAAACAAAACAUAUAAAUAACAAAAUGAU
rnacentral:lncRNA from 1 species